GUGGGGAAUUUUGGACAAUGGGCGAAAGCCUGAUCCAGCCAUUCCGCGUGCAGGAUGAAGGCCCUCGGGUUGUAAACUGCUUUUGUACAGAACGAAAAAGCUCCGGCUAAUACCUGGAGUCCAUGACGGUACUGUAAGAAUAAGCACCGGCUAACUACGUGCCAGCAGCCGCGGUAAUACGUAGGGUGCAAGCGUUAAUCGGAAUUACUGGGCGUAAAGCGUGCGCAGGCGGUUUUGUAAGACAGAGGUGAAAUCCCCGGGCUCAACCUGGGAACUGCCUUUGUGACUGCAAGGCUGGAGUGCGGCAGAGGGGGAUGGAAUUCCGCGUGUAGCAGUGAAAUGCGUAGAUAUGCGGAGGAACACCGAUGGCGAAGGCAAUCCCCUGGGCCUGCACUGACGCUCAUGCACGAAAGCGUGGGGAGCAAACAGGAUUAGAUACCCCAGUAGUCC
rnacentral:rRNA from 1 species